GAUGAACGCUGGCGGCGUGCCUAAUACAUGCAAGUCGAGCGAACAGACGAGGAGCUUGCUCCUCUGACGUUAGCGGCGGACGGGUGAGUAACACGUGGAUAACCUACCUAUAAGACUGGGAUAACUUCGGGAAACCGGAGCUAAUACCGGAUAACAUGUUGAACCGCAUGGUUCAACAGUGAAAGACGGUUUUGCUGUCACUUAUAGAUGGAUCCGCGCCGCAUUAGCUAGUUGGUAAGGUAACGGCUUACCAAGGCAACGAUGCGUAGCCGACCUGAGAGGGUGAUCGGCCACACUGGAACUGAGACACGGUCCAGACUCCUACGGGAGGCAGCAGUAGGGAAUCUUCCGCAAUGGGCGAAAGCCUGACGGAGCAACGCCGCGUGAGUGAAGAAGGUCUUCGGAUCGUAAAACUCUGUUAUUAGGGAAGAACAAAUGUGUAAGUAACUAUGCACGUCUUGACGGUACCUAAUCAGAAGGCCACGGCUAACUACGUG
rnacentral:rRNA from 1 species